rnacentral:rRNA from 1 species
AUUGAACGCUGGCGGAAUGCUUUACACAUGCAAGUCGAACGGCAGCACGGGAGCUUGCUCCUGGUGGCGAGUGGCGAACGGGUGAGUAAUAUAUCGGAACGUACCGAGUAAGGGGGGAUAACAUAUCGAAAGAUGUGCUAAUACCGCAUACGCCCUGAGGGGGAAAGCGGAGGAUCGUAAGACUUCGCGUUAUUCGAGCGGCCGAUAUCGGAUUGGCUAGUUGGUGAGGUAAAGGCUCACCAAGGCGACGAUCCGUAGCUGGUCUGAGAGGACGACCAGCCACACUGGAACUGAGACACGGUCCAGACUCCUACGGGAGGCAGCAGUGGGGAAUUUUGGACAAUGGGGGCAACCCUGAUCCAGCCAUUCCGCGUGAGUGAAGAAGGCCUUCGGGUUGUAAAGCUCUUUCGCAAGGGAAGAAAACUUAGGCUCUAACAUAGCUUGAGGCUGACGGUACCUUGAUAAGAAGCACCGGCUAACUACGUGCCAGCAGCCGCGGUAAAAC